rnacentral:lncRNA from 1 species
AUUUAACUUCUUUACUGUCAAUGAUCUUUUCAUUAUAAAGUGCAAAUUUACUCCGUCUCCUUAGUGCUCUGAUCUUAAAAUGUCAUAUCCGCACAUCCAGACAGCUGUAUCUUAUUCCAUGUUAAUUCUGGUGGAUAACAUUUACACUAAUAUUGAAGAUGAUAUGAUGCAGGUUUUCUGUGCUUUAUCCUGAGGUGUGAGGCCCUCCAGCCGACUGAGUACAAUGUAAGCAGAGAGAGACUGUUCACUUCUCUGUAAGGAAGUAAGCAGGCUGUUUGAUGCCUGUGGCUUAGUGGGAAAAUAUAUAAACUGGAGUCAAGAGUCACUUGAGGGAUAGUUUCUUUAUCUGUAAAGAGGCAAAAAAAAAAAUUUUUUUUGUUUCUCCUACAUCAAAGUUUUAUUGCAAAGACUGAAUAAAAGAAUGCAGAAAUUAUAUCUGAUUCCAGAAGCUAUAACUGGUAUUAUUUCAGUUUUCUGGUUUUGUCUGCUCCCCAGUAUUAUAAUAAUUGAUGAAUGAGUUUUUAAGGAAACAA